rnacentral:rRNA from 1 species
AUACGGAGGGUGCGAGCGUUAAUCGGAAUUACUGGGCGUAAAGCGUGCGUAGGCGGUUUGCUAAGUCAGAUGUGAAAGCCCCGGGCUUAACCUGGGAACUGCAUCUGAUACUGGCAGACUAGAGUAUGAUAGAGGGGGGUAGAAUUCCUGGUGUAGCGGUGAAAUGCGUAGAUAUCAGGAGGAAUACCAGUGGCGAAGGCGGCCCCCUGGAUCAAUACUGACGCUGAGGUACGAAAGCGUGGGGAGCGAACAGGAUUAGAAACCCUAGUAGUCC